UCCACCCCUUUUGAAGUACAGCCUCGCGUCUGGGCUGUUCAGCCUGAACAGCUGCUGGAGCUACAAAGCCUUUUUUCAUCUGCUGCCAGGAUGAGAGUGAUACAGCUUCCCAACCCAUCUAGGAUUCCGUGUUUUGCUUUCUAUAUUAUCUUCACCCUGCUUCAGCAGGCUACCACAGAAAGAGAACUGAAGUUUGUGGCUGUAGUUUUCCGACAUGGUGACAGAACGCCAAUUGUAAACUUUCCAACUGAUCUACACAAAGAAAGUGAAUGGCCCCAAGGAUUUGGACAACUUACCAAGACUGGAAUGCAGCAGCUGUAUGAACUUGGACAGUACGUGAGGAAGAGAUAUUCCAACUUUCUGAACAGCACAUACAACCGGAAAGAGUUUUAUAUCCAAAGUACAGAUUAUGAUCGCACAAUUAUGAGUGCCCAGUCAUACCUAUCUGGCCUCUUUCCACCAACUAGCAGCCAAAUUUGGAACCCUGAGCUUCUCUGGCAACCCAUUCCUGUUCAUAUUGUGCCAAAAGCAACAGAUAGGAGGUUGCAUUUUCCUCUGAGUGAUUGUCCCCGUUUUGAUGAACUUCAGAAUGAAACCCAAACAUCUACUGAAUUUCAAAGUAGAAUACAACCAUACAUGGAUUUUUUACAAACAAUGGCAGUUAACACAGGACUUGAACUAAAUCAUCUUAAAAUACUUGACAAUUUCCAGCUCUGGAAUACAUAUGAUACACUAUACUGUGAGGGUAUUCACAAUUAUUCUCUCCCUGUAUGGGCCACCAAAGAUGUAGUGGACAAGAUGGAAAAACUGGCAGAAUUGUCCUUAUUAUCCCUGUUUGGGGUUUAUAAAACAGAAGAGAAAUCACGACUACAAGGAGGUGUCCUUGUGAAUAUUAUUCUAAAUAGUUUUAAACAAGCUGCCAAUUCUUCAAAAGAAAGAAAAAUGGAGGUCUACUCUGCUCAUGACACCACGAUUGGGGCCCUCCAGAUCGCUCUCAAUAUUUUCAAUGGAAAACUGCCACCAUAUGCUGCUUGUCAGUUUUUUGAACUCUACCAAGAAAGCAGUGGGCAGUAUAGCAUUGAAAUGCAUUAUCGGAAUGACUCUUCAAAGGACCCUUACCUACUCACUCUGCCAGGAUGCACCUCUUCUUGCCCACUUGAGAAGUUCACUGAAUUAGUUUCUCCUAUAAUUACGGAAAGCUGGUCGAAAGAAUGUGGGAAAAAAGACAAAACAAAAGAUAUUUUUAUCGGAUUUGUUGUUGCUGUUGGCUUGUUGUUCAUUUUUGACCUUAUACUGCUCUACCUCCUUUAUCAUUAUGGACGCUGCAGGCACAGAAACAAUUACCAAGACAUUUAAAGGAGAGGUGAAGAAAUGGGAGAGAGAGCAGCUAGACAUCAGACAACUCUUUAAGUCGCUCCGUCCUGCAGAGGAUACUGUGACUUACAUUACUGUGGAGAAGCCUUUCUAAAAAUCAAGACAUCUAUACAGACAGGUGCCAACAUCAAGUUCAGCCUGACAGACACAAUGAGCAAUCAUGUGCUCGAGCUGAUGAGUCCUAUUCAGGUACAGAAGCCUAGAAAAAGCUGAGAUUGAGCUGCUUUAGCUCACACGUAGCAUCACAUCAGUGUGGAUAUGCUGUUUUUGGACUGACUUUGACUCACAUCUGUGGGUUGCAAUUUGAAGCACAGGACCUUGGGUGAAGUACCUCUGAUCUACAGAGACCUGCCCUCAAUAUUACAGCAAUGGACACAUUUAAAAUGUGAUAUUGUUAGAUGUAUGGAUUUUAAAUAGCAAAAAUCAAGCAGAAAAGCAAAAACUUGUGGAAAUAAAGUAUUUUCCAA